rnacentral:misc_RNA from 1 species
CGUCUCUACCUCACCGAAUCUACUUUGUUUCCGUUUAUCCUCUUUUCACACUUCACGGUUCCUUUCAAUCUGUAUCUAGCUCCUACUCCACCUCCACCUCUUCAUCACGCUCUCCACUGCCAUCAACUAUAUUUCUCCUACUCCUCCUUCACGUCUCUCCCAUCUUUAACUUCGUUUCGCUUUCUUGUUGCUCGCGCCUCUGUCCGUCACUUCAGUUACAUCGCCUGGUCUCAUUUCAUCGCCCCGUCUCUCCACCACCACCAUCACCACCAUCACCAAUUUAUAUUCGUAGAUUCGUAGGCGCGUACGUUAGGCUACCUAGACAUUCUCUGGUCAUCGAGGUGCGCACGGUCAUAAUUUCUCAGGUGCAGCCAACAAAUGUAAUCGGAUUCGAACGUUCCUUAUUGUGUAGGAAUAGAAAGGAAUUUUUUAACAUACACAAGUGAGUCACCUCGUUUCGAAGGAUAGAGAUCUUUCAUUUCUUUUGGUUUUCUUCAGAUAUCCCGAUUUAACUCAAACAUCCGCGAUUUAAUUAUUAUUUAUUUCGAAACUAAAGAAAAAGUGAACUAAAAAUUAUAAUCAACAUACUUUAUACGACAAAGAAAGUAGCUAAUCAAUUAACGAUACUACUAAAAAAUACAUAUAAUUUAAAAUUUAUAAUCUGCAUUAAAUAUACUACAUUUUUAUAAAAAAUGAAUUAAAUUAUCCUAAGACUUUUGAACAGCAACGUACAUGCCACUUCCUCGAAACAUUCUAGAUUCUUUCAACCAUCACUCAGCGGACGCUAACAACUUUCGAAUAGCUGACAAAAAAAUAUUUCAGUUCUAUAGACUAGAUCUUAAGCUCUCUAAUUCUUCACGCAGGAAGUCAUCGAGUUGCUCCUGAAAUCUCGAAAGGCGGGAUCUUGUUUCGCAAAGGUUAGGAUCCGCGGUAAGACCAAACUACGAGACAGACGUAUUAUUAUGUUAUUUUCAUAGCGGCCUAGUAAAUGGCAAUCGUGACAAGGCAUUGAAAAAAUCUGACGAAUGACAUAAAUCCUAUUGUAUUUAAGCGAUUACGAUCUGACGGAAGUCAGUCUUUGCUGACGGUAAAGUACGAGAUCGAUCAUCGGGUUUCGAGCGAUGUCAACGCUGAAGAUUAUUUACGCAGUGCACAGAUCCAUAUUCGUCGUGAUUGUAGUGCUUUCGAUCGUAAAGCAAGUUCGAAAUCAAGUAAACAAUGGAACACACACGGAUGACAACAAUAACGUGGAUCCUUACAAGAUUAUUGGGACCAGCGGUCGUCAAUAGUACUGUGAAAU